UGAGGAAUAUUGGUCAAUGGACGAGAGUCUGAACCAGCCAAGUAGCGUGAAGGAUGACUGCCCUAUGGGUUGUAAACUUCUUUUAUACGGGAAUAAAGUUAGCCACGUGUGGCUUUUUGUAUGUACCGUAUGAAUAAGGAUCGGCUAACUCCGUGCCAGCAGCCGCGGUAAUACGGAGGAUCCGAGCGUUAUCCGGAUUUAUUGGGUUUAAAGGGAGCGUAGGCGGGUUGUUAAGUCAGUUGUGAAAGUUUGCGGCUCAACCGUAAAAUUGCAGUUGAUACUGGCGACCUUGAGUGCAACAGAGGUAGGCGGAAUUCGUGGUGUAGCGGUGAAAUGCUUAGAUAUCACGAAGAACUCCGAUUGCGAAGGCAGCUUACUGGAUUGUAACUGACGCUGAUGCUCGAAAGUGUGGGUAUCAAACAGGAUUAGAUACCCUGGUAGUCCACACAGUAAACGAUGAAUACUCGCUGUUGGCGAUAUACGGUCAGCGGCCAAGCGAAAGCAUUAAGUAUUCCACCUGGGGAGUACGCCGGCAACGGUGAAACUCAAAGGAAUUGACGGGGGUCCGCACAAGCGGAGGAACAUGUGGUUUAAUUCGAUGAUACGCGAGGAACCUUACCCGGGCUUAAAUUGCAACUGACUGAACCGGAAACGGUUCUUUCUUCGGACAGUUGUGAAGGUGCUGCAUGGUUGUCGUCAGCUCGUGCCGUGAGGUGUCGGCUUAAGUGCCAUAACGAGCGCAACCCUUAUCGAUAGUUACUAGCAGGUCAUGCUGAGGACUCUAUUGAGACUGCCGUCGUAAGAUGUGAGGAAGGUGGGGAUGACGUCAAAUCAGCACGGCCCUUACGUCCGGGGCUACACACGUGUUACAAUGGGGGGUACAGAAGGCAGCUACACGGCGACGUGGUGCUAAUCCCGAAAGCCUCUCUCAGUUCGGAUUGGAGUCUGCAACCCGACUCCAUGAAGCUGGAUUCGCUAGUAAUCGCGCAUCAGCCACGGCGCGGUGAAUACGUUCCC
rnacentral:rRNA from 1 species